GCCACUACCUCAUCUGAGGCCACCACCACCCCCAGGCCACUGCUCAGCACCCCUGUGGAUGGGGCAGAGGAUCCUAGAUGUUUGGAAGCCUUGAAGCCUGGAAACUGUGGUGAAUAUGUGGUUCGAUGGUAUUAUGACAAACAGGUCAACUCUUGUGCCCGAUUUUGGUUCAGUGGCUGUAAUGGCUCAGGAAAUAGAUUCAACAGUGAAAAGGAAUGUCAAGAAACCUGCAUUCAAGGAUGAGCAAGUCUACCCUCAUUCAAUUCAACAGUGCAAAAAAGAGCACUCACGGAAGAAGGAGAUGGAAGAAUAGCCAUCUUGGCAGAAAUAAUGAUAUGUAUAAUUUUUUUAUUUAAUUAAAAUUGUAUUAUGUAAUAUUUGAUACUACAAAAGAUAAUGCAACAUGUUUGUCAAUUUUUUUUAUUAUACUUUAAGUUUUAGGGUACAUGUGCACAAAGUACAGGUUUGUUACAUAUGUAUUCAUGUGCCAUGUUGGUGUGCUGCACCCAUUAACUCGUCAUUUAACAUUAGGUAUAUUUCCUAAUGCUAUCCCUCCCCACUCCCCCGCCACCCCACAACAGGCCCUGGUGUGUGAUGUUCCCCUUCCUGUGUCCAUGUGUUCUCAUUGUUCAACUCCCACCUAUGAGUGAGAACAUGCGGUGUUUGGUUUUUUGUCCUUGUGACAGUUUGCUGAGAAUGA
rnacentral:lncRNA from 1 species